rnacentral:lncRNA from 1 species
ACCAUGAAGCUUGCCCUCUAUCAUUGACUACCUCUUUUAAAAUAUUCAUUAAAAAUUAAUUUAAAAUCUUAGAAAAUAGAAGUUUUCGAAAAAUAAAUUUAUUUAAUAAAAUAGUCCAUUUCAAUUUUAAAUUUUUGAUUCAUUCAAUAAAUAUGUUGGAUUCAAAUUGAUAGAUUUUUGACCCAUCUUAUAUCUGAUCAUACUCAUAUUUGAUCUGACC